rnacentral:tRNA from 1 species
GCCCAGAUAGCUCAGUUGGUAGAGCAGGGGAUUGAAAAUCCCCGUGUCGGCGGUUCAAUUCCGUCUCUGGGCACCC